GUGUCAGCCGCCGCGGUAAUACGUAGGUGGCAAGCGUUGUCCGGAAUUAUUGGGCGUAAAGCGCGCGCAGGUGGUUUCUCAAGUCUGGUGUGAAAGGCGAGGGCUCAACCCUCGUUGGGCAUCGGAAACUGGGUAUCUUGAGGACAGGAGAGGAAAGUGGAAUUCCACGUGUAGCGGUGAAAUGCGUAGAGAUGUGGAGGAACACCAGUGGCGAAGGCGACUUUCUGGACUGUAACUGACGCUGAGGCGCGAAAGCGUGGGGAGCAAACAGGAUUAGAUCCCCUGGUA
rnacentral:rRNA from 1 species